GAAAGGCGAUGCAAGCCUGAGAAUGAGACCGAUUUAUACCGAUUCCCUCAAGCAAACCCUAAUUUUAUUUGAUGAAAUUGUAGAGGGACGUAAGGAAGAGAAUUUCGAGGGUUACCAGAGUGAUUGAAGCUGUGGAGGUUGAGAAAUUUGAAUAAAAAGUUGGGUUAAGUCUGAAUUUCGGACAGUCUGAACAGGCUUCAAUGUUUUGAAGUUCUUCAGCUGUAGAAACCAAAUUUGAAGCUGAAAUUUUGAGUUAGAAAAUCGAGACUACACAGAAUUUCGGGCGAAUAGAGAAACGUGACUUUUGGAGCUGAUUCGGUGUUAUUCAAGCAUUUUCAAAGCUUCAAAAUCUCAGGGGUAUCAAGAAAUAUUUGACCGAUUCCAGAAGAUUUAGGGCGCUUCAAGACAACAAAAUGUGAGGCCAAGUUCAAUUAGGAGAGGCUUAUAAAUCCGAAGGAUCGAGCCUGAAAUUGUAGUAGUCAUCUCCCCAGAGGUUAGCUAUCAUGCUGCUCUACCACUUAAGGACUCCAGUUAAAAGCCCAAAGUCUAAAGAGAAGUUUUAGGUGUCUAUUUUGUAAAUGUCUGUACAUAUGUGUUGCUCAUAUUAGGGACUAGUAAAGUAUAUUGGGACCCGCUGAACUUUGUAUGUGUUAAUAGGAUGUAAUUAUGUUGUUGUUGAUCCCUGGUGUUUUGAGGUUGUUUUUAAAGUUUCAUUAGUUUGGUGAAUGUUAUAUAUGUAUUCCAGGGAUCUAAGUAGGUUAAGGAUGUAAGUUAGACAGUAAGUACCACAAAAGGGUUGGUAUCUACUGUCGUCACAUUCACUUUUGAAUUAAGAAGGGUAAUCUGGGAAGGGGUGUGACAGUUGCCCAGAUGGAGCAUUUGGAGCAACCAGUCGACGCAAAAUUGAGGAUAAGAAUUGAAUGAUAUUGCCUUAGUUGAAGAUAUGCUUGAGGACAAGCAUAUAUCUAAAUU